GGCUCAGAACGAACGCUGGUGGAGUGUCUAUACAUGCAAGUCGAGCGAGGACGUAGCAAUACGAGCCGAGCGGCGAAUGGGUGAGUAACGCGUAGGCAAUCUGCCCCGCAUUCCGGAACAACCGUGCCAACGCGCGGCUAAUGCCGGGAGCCGUGGCGGUCCACAUGGGCCGUUGACGAAAGAUUUAUCGAUGCGGGAUGAGCUUGCGUCCGAUUAGCUAGUGGCGGGCAACGGCCCACCAAGGCGACGAUCGGUAGCCGGCCUGAGAGGGCGAUCGGCCACAUUGGGACUGAGAGACGGCCCAGACUCCUACGGGAGGCAGCAGUAGGGAAUAUUGCGCAAUGGGGGCAACCCUGACGCAGCAACUCCAACCGUGUGGGAUGAAGCAUUUCGGUGUGUAAACCACUGUCGAGAGGGAAUAACGCAAUCUUUCGGGAUUGUUGAAUGUACCUUUAAAGGAAGCACCGGCAAACUUCGUGCCAGCCGCCGC
rnacentral:rRNA from 1 species